rnacentral:rRNA from 1 species
GUGGCCUACGGGACGCAGCAGUGGGGGAUAUCGCACAAUGGGGGGAACCCUGAUGCAGCGACGCCGCGUGGGCGAUGGAGUGCUUCGGUAUGUAAAGCUCUAUCAGCAGGGAAGAAAAUGACGGUACCUGACUAAGAAGCCCCGGCUAACUACGUGCCAGCAGCCGCGGUAAUGCGUAGGGGGCAAGCGUUAUCCGGAUUUACUGGGUGUAAAGGGAGCGUAGACGGCAGUGCAAGUCUGAAGUGAAAGGCAAGGGCUCAACCUUUGGACUGCUUUGGAAACUGUGCUGCUAGAGUGUCGGAGAG